UGGGGAAUAUUGCACAAUGGGCGCAAGCCUGAUGCAGCGACGCCGCGUGAGGGAUGACGGCCUUCGGGUUGUAAACCUCUUUCAAUAGGGACGAAGCGCAAGUGACGGUACCUAUAGAAGAAGGACCGGCCAACUACGUGCCAGCAGCCGCGGUAAUACGUAGGGUCCGAGCGUUGUCCGGAAUUACUGGGCGUAAAGAGCUCGUAGGUGGUUUGUCGCGUUGUUCGUGAAAACUCACAGCUUAACUGUGGGCGUGCGGGCGAUACGGGCAGACUAGAGUACUGCAGGGGAGACUGGAAUUCCUGGUGUAGCGGUGGAAUGCGCAGAUAUCAGGAGGAACACCGGUGGCGAAGGCGGGUCUCUGGGCAGUAACUGACGCUGAGGAGCGAAAGCGUGGGGAGCGAACAGGAUUAGAUACCCUGGUAGUCCACGCCGUAAACGGUGGGUACUAGGUGUGGGUUUCCUUCCUUGGGAUCCGUGCCGUAGCUAACGCAUUAAGUACCCCGCCUGGGGAGUACGGCCGCAAGGCUAAAACUCAAAGGAAUUGACGGGGGUCAUAGCUGUUUUCCU
rnacentral:rRNA from 1 species